CUGCUAGCAAAAAUCUGUUAGCAAAAGGCAUCCGUUCUUUACCAGGUGUUGCCUGGAGGCAAAAUCCAAACUAUUUGAAUAACUAACGCUUUAAAGGAUCUGUGUGAACUGAAACAUUUUCCAGGAUAGUGAAGACCCAUUGACAGGACUCUCCUUCUGUCUCUUGGCAGCCAAAGGACAACCAGAAGCAGUGCGAUGAGAAGUGUAUUUACCUGAUAUGUGACCUUGGCCAUCACAGCCUAUCACUGGACAUCUAUAGAAACACAGCAAAAGAACCCAUGUUUUCACUAGAGACAGCAGGUAAAGACGGUCUCAAGAAAGUCUGAGGAAAUACGUCCAUCUGCCUAUGCCACUUUGCAUUAAUUUUUUAAGACUCGGUCUCCUGGGACUCACUAUACCUGAGCAUCCAAUUCAUGUCAAGAUGUUAUGGGGGUUCAGCUGAUUUUAAGAUUAGGCAAUUUAAAAUAUAGUUGGACUGCCUAAGAAACUAAAAAAUUCAUUUAGAUAUUGUUUUACCAGAAAAGAAAUUUGAAAUUCUAUCACAGGCAAUAAAUCACAAUC